rnacentral:piRNA from 1 species
UGACGGUCUCAAGUAGUAACGGUAAUAACUGU